UACGAAGGGGGCUAGCGUUGCUCGGAAUCACUGGGCGUAAAGCGCACGUAGGCGGCUUUUUAAGUCAGAGGUGAAAUCCUGGAGCUCAACUCCAGAACUGCCUUUGAUACUGAAGAGCUUGAGUCCGGGAGAGGUGAGUGGAACUGCGAGUGUAGAGGUGAAAUUCGUAGAUAUUCGCAAGAACACCAGUGGCGAAGGCGGCUCACUGGCCCGGAACUGACGCUGAGACGCGAAAGCGUGGGGAGCAAACAGG
rnacentral:rRNA from 1 species